UUACCUGGUCCGGACAUCAAAAGGAUAGACAGACUGAAGUUCUCUCUUGAUAUGGUGAUUGGUGGUGCAUGGCCGUUCUUAGUUCGUGGAGUGAUCUGUCAGGCCAAUUCCGGUAACGAACGAGACCACAGUCUCCAUUUGACGAGUCGGAGAAGACGUCGGCACUGAGGGGGGUUGUUCCCACAACUCCAUUCGGCGUUGGCGUUGUAGGCAUCGCGGAGUAGCACUGGUGUGCCGGUGGAGGUGGCAACACUGAAGCCGGUGUGCUUGCUGUGGUCUCUGCGCUCCCUCCAGCUUAGCGGCACAUCGCUCGCAAGAGUUGUGUGCUGUAUCAUGGAGAGACAACGGAACAUAUUACAAAAAUCCGAGGAAGUGUGGCUAUAACAGGUCUGUGAUGCCCUUAGAUGUUCAGGGCUGCACGCGCGCUACAAU
rnacentral:rRNA from 1 species